GAAACCUCUGCUACGAGCCUCCACUGUCGCAGAAUAGGUCGUAGUCGUAGUGCAACUCAACAAUAGGUCAGGCAUAACCUACUUUUUUACAAGUAGUACGACAAAUCAAACGAACUUUAACUUCAAAUAAUAUAACUCAGUAGUGGAUGAAAGAAAGAUAUUAUUUUCAAAUAAUACGACUCAAUUGCAAAUCAAAUAAACUUUUUAUUUAAAGAUCUCAAUUACAUAAUGUGCACUAAGAUAUGACAGGUGCGAUGAUAGGAGGGCGAUGACUAGAGUACGAUAACGAGAUAGAGGAUAAGCUUGACAACAGACUGGAUAGGAUUGGAGUUACUUGAGCCACUGCACAUGAUGAUGACUAAACCGAAGAGAAAUAUUAGAAGCAAUUUGUGACAAAGAUUAAUAGAAUAACGUGAGAAUGCGCAAGAAAAGAAUAGAUAAGUAAAAAGAUCGCAAGAGUCGUAUCAGAUAAUUUGAAACAGAUUAAAACCUCGAGUAAUUCGUCAUUUCAAAUUGAAUAAAGAUGAUCAAUGACCGCGAAA